AUACGUAGGGUGCAAGCGUUAAUCGGAAUUACUGGGCGUAAAGCGUGCGCAGGCGGUUUUGUAAGGCAGAGGUGAAAUCCCCGGGCUCAACCUGGGAACUGCCUUUGUGACUGCAAGGCUAGAGUACGGCAGAGGGGGGUGGAAUUCCGCGGGGAGACGUGAAAUGCGUAGAUAUGCGGAGGAACACCGAUGGCGAAGGCAAUCCCCUGGGCCUGUACUGACGCUCAUGCACGAAAGCGUGGGGAGCAAACAGGAUUAGAUACCCUGGUAGUCCACGCCCUAAACGAUGUCAACUGGUUGUUGGGUCUUCAUUGACUCAGUAACGAAGCUAACGCGUGAAGUUGACCGCCUGGGGAGUACGGCCGCAAGGUUGAAACUCAAAUGAAUUGACGGGG
rnacentral:rRNA from 1 species